AUUGAACGCUGGCGGCAGGCCUAACACAUGCAAGUCGAGCGGAGCGGCGGACGGGUGAGUAAUGCCUAGGAAUCUGCCUGGUAGUGGGGGAUAACAUCCGGAAACGGGCGCUAAUACCGCAUACUAUCAGAUGAGCCUAGGUCGGAUUAGCUAGUGGUGGGGGUAAAGGCUUACAAAGGCGACGAUCCGUAACUGGUCUGAGAGGAUGAUCAGUCACACUGGAACUGAGACACGGUCCAGACUCCUACGGGAGGCAGCAGUGGGGAAUAUUGUACAAUGGGCGAAAUCCUGAUGCAGCCAUGUCGCGUGUUUGAAGAAGGUCUUCGGAUUGUAAAGCACUUUAAGUUGGGAGGCGUUACCAACAGAAUAAGCACCGGCUAACUUCGUGCGAGCAGCCGCGGUAAUUC
rnacentral:rRNA from 1 species